rnacentral:lncRNA from 1 species
CUUGCAGGAUGGCAAUGGGAUGCACUGGGGAGAUCCAUGCACCAUCCUGCACUGUGUUCCUGCUUCACAACGGGUGUUCUUGCAGGAUGGCAACGGGAUGCACUGGGGUGAUCCAUGCACCAUCUUGCAUUCUGUUCCUGCUUCACAACGGGUGUUCUUGCAUGAUGGUAAUGGGAUGCACUGUGGUGAUCCAUGCACCAUCCUGCACUGUGUUCCUGCUUCACAACGGGUGUUCUUGCAGGAUGGCAACGGGAUGCACUGGGGUGACCCAUGCACCAUCUUGCAUUCUGUGCCUGCUUCACAACGGGUGUUCUUGCAUGAUGGUAAUGGGAUGCACUGUGGUGAUCCAUGCACCAUCCUGCACUGUGUUCCUGCUUCACAACGGGUGUUCUUGCAGCACCACAACGGGUGUUCUUACAGGAAGGCAGAGGGAUGCACUGGGGUGACCCAUUCACCAUCCUGCACUCCGUUCCUGCUUCACAACGGGUGUUCUUGCAUGAAGGCAAUGGGACGCAUCUGGGCCGCCCGUGCAGCAUCUGGCACUCUGUUCCAGCUUCACAAUGGAAAUCCUUGCAUGAGUACUACAGGACACACACGAGGCACCCAUCCACCAUCCCACAUUCCGAUCCCAAAUCACAACCAGUCUUCCAAGAUGAUGGCAAAGGGAUGAAAUGGGAUAUCCCACCCACCAUCCCAUGCUCUGCUCCCAAAUCACAA